rnacentral:rRNA from 1 species
UCAGGAUGAACGCUGGCGGCGUGCCUAACACAUGCAAGUCGAACGGGCCUUAUUUGAAGAAAGCUCGGCAGACCGAAGGAUAAGGUUAGUGGCGGACGGGUGAGUAACGCGUGGAGAACCUGCCCUGUACAGGGGGAGUAACACUGAGAAAUCAGUGCUAAAACCGCAUAAGCGCACAGUACCGCAUGGUACAGUGUGAAAAACUCCGGUGGUACAGGAUGGCUCCGCGUUGGAUUAGCCAGUUGGCGGGGUAACGGCCCACCAAAGCGACGAUCCAUAGCCGGCCUGAGAGGGUGGACGGCCACAUUGGGACUGAGACACGGCCCAGACUCCUACGGGAGGCAGCAGUGGGGAAUAUUGCACAAUGGGGGGAACCCUGAUGCAGCGACGCCGCGUGAAGGAAGAAGUAUCUCGGUAUGUAAACUUCUAUCGGCAGGGAAGAAGAAGGACGGUACCUGCAGAAGAAGCCCCGGCUAACUACGUGCCAGCAGCCGC